GCGCUGUCGUGGAUGUAGGGGUCCCGCUUGCCUGGGCCCUGGGCUAUGCAGAGGGAGACACGAACCAGGGAGGAGAUCGUCAGAAAGGCUGGGACACCAACAGAUGACGCACAAAUGGAGGAAUUUUCAGGCACGGUCAAAGCUAAUGGGAGGGAAAAUACUGAAGUUUAAUAUUCCAGAGUUCUCUCUUGUCUGCUCUGACUCCUGCCAGCUGCCCUGCACCUAGAGGGACAGGAGGCUCUUCUCCGGGGCAUUGCAUGGCCGGGAGCCAAAUGAGCUGGCACCAGACCAUUGCUGUGUCCCCAGCCUGUUUCUCCCCAAGUCCCAUUGAUCGUUCUCUCUAUCCCUGUUUCCUCAGAAGGUCAGGUUUUCUAAGCCCGAAGGCUUGGAGCCAGGCAGGAGCUGUCUCCCUCUCCAGUGCUGCCGACUCAACCCUUUUCCCUUAGAAGCUGCAGGGAGGAAGGCUCCCCUUGGCUCCCUCCCUCUGCAGCCCUGGCUCUGCGCCCUGGGAAUGCUGCCUGGGGCAGGGCCACGUAGAGAGCAGGGCCAGUGCAGGCCUUUGGGUGUUCCCAGCGGCCAAAGUCCUUUAGUCUGCUUUCCUUUGGGCCCCCUUGCACCCCUGAAUGGAUGACCUGGGGGAUUCCAAGUCGGUUUGUCUGUUUGAUUAUCCCCCCAAAUAAAUUGGAAAUUGGAGGCCCAAGGAUGAGCCCUGGUUGAGGACGCAGAGCCCAGGGGCCGUCCCAUCCUCCACACUUGGCCCAGCUGUGAGUGGGGGAAUGGGAUUUAGCACCUGAAGCCCCAGAUUUAAAUAUAUCCCCACUCCCCGCCGGGGUCCCCGCACUCCUGCACCUCCCUCCUCCCAGGACGGCCCUGACCUGCAGGCAUUGUUCCCCGCCCAUGCCCAAGCCCCAAGGGAAUUCCAUCGGGUUGGAGAGUCUUCCCUUCUGUAGG
rnacentral:lncRNA from 1 species